ACGUAGGGUGCGAGCGUUGUCCGGAAUUAUUGGGCGUAAAGAGCUCGUAGGCGGUCUGUCUCGUCGAAUGUGAAAACCCGGGGCUCAACUCCGGGCUUGCAUUCGAUACGGGCAGGCUAGAGUUCGGUAGGGGAGUCUGGAAUUCCUGGUGUAGCGGUGAAAUGCGCAGAUAUCAGGAGGAACACCGGUGGCGAAGGCGGGACUCUGGGCCGAUACUGACGCUGAGGAGCGAAAGCGUGGGGAGCGAACAG
rnacentral:rRNA from 1 species